GCGGCACCUGCAUCAGAUACCAAUCCCUCAGGCGAUCCGUGGACGUCGAUGGCGCCCACGUCCUGAACGUCCACGAAGAUGCGCGGAAUGUACGAGGAGUACAAGGAAUGUGUGAGCGGCAGUUGCGCCGAAUGGAAAUGUCGAUAUUUGUUCCGAGGUUGGCCAGAUGGAUGUACCGAGGACUGCGCGUAUGGGUGUUACUGUAAAGAUGGUUAUUUCCGUAAUUCUGCCGGCCGUUGUGUGCUUGGAUAUCACUGCUUUAAAGAAUAUAGCCUGCACCUGCCCAGUCGGCGAGAGUGAAGCUUGACACGUGGAACAGCUAACUGUGUCCGUAAACAGCCUAUAUUAUAUGAAAAAAGAAACGGUGGUGAAUCGAAAAUAAUAAACUGAUCCACGUGAA
rnacentral:lncRNA from 1 species